CUGGCGGCGUGCCUAAUACAUGCAAGUCGAACGGUCUUUCUAUGGAAGCUUGCUUCCACUGAGAAGAUAGUGGCGAACGGGUGAGUAACACGUGGGUAACCUGCCCAUAAGAGGGGGAUAACAUCCGGAAACGGGUGCUAAUACCGCAUAGUUUCUUGAUUGCAUGAUUGAGAAAGGAAAGACGGCCUUUGUGCUGUCGCUUAUGGAUGGACCCGCGGCGUAUUAGUUAGUUGGUGAGGUAACGGCUCACCAAGACGAUGAUACGUAGCCGACCUGAGAGGGUGAUCGGCCACAUUGGGACUGAGACACGGCCCAAACUCCUACGGGAGGCAGCAGUAGGGAAUCUUCCGCAAUGGACGAAAGUCUGACGGAGCAACGCCGCGUGAGUGAAAGAAGGUUUUCGGAUCGUAAAACUCUGUUGUCAGAGAAGAACAAGUUGGAGAGUAACUGCUCCAGCCUUGACGGUAUCUGACCAGAAAGCCACGGCUAACUACGUGCCAGCCGCGGC
rnacentral:rRNA from 1 species